UCAGGCCUAACACAUGCAAGUCGAGCGAGGACUUCGGUCCUAGCGGCGGACGGGUGAGUAACGCGUGGGAACGUGCCCUUUGCUUCGGAAUAGCCCUGGGAAACUGGGAGUAAUACCGGAUGAGCCCUACGGGGGAAAGAUUUAUCGGCGAAGGAUCGGCCCGCGUUGGAUUAGGUAGUUGGGGGGGUAAUGGCCUACCAAGCCGACGAUCCAUAGCUGGUUUGAGAGGAUGAUCAGCCACACUGGGACUGAGACACGGCCCAGACUCCUACGGGAGGCAGCAGUGGGGAAUCUUAGACAGUGGGGGAAACCCUGAUCUAGCCAUGCCGCGUGAGUGAAAGAGGCCUUAGGGUUGUAAAGCUCUUCAGCUGGAAGAUA
rnacentral:rRNA from 1 species